GUGGUCAAUCGGUGGUCAGCCUACGGCGUGAUUCGACAGGCGGGCCACGCCGAACGUGGAGAGCACUCCAUUGGUAAUGGAGAGGUCGACAGUUCAAUCCUGUCUGGCAGCACCA
rnacentral:tRNA from 1 species